GGCGGUGAAAAGGAGCCGGGGGUGCCCCAGAGCCGCCGCCGCUCGCCAUGAGGGCAGCGCUCGCCCCCGGGGUCCGCCUGCUCCGAGCCCUCCCCCGGGACAGCCGCUAUCGGGGACUGACUCUGGUACUGACCUUCCUCUCCUACACCAGCUACCACCUCUCCCGAAAACCCAUCAGCAUCGUCAAGAGCCAGCUGCACCCCAACUGCUCGGCCUUGGGCCCAAACCCCCACAAUGACUCCAACAGCACCACAUGGUGCAGCUGGGCCCCCUUUGAUAAGGACAACUACAAAGAACUCUUUGGGGCGCUGGAUAACGCCUUCCUGGUGGCCUAUGCCAUCGGGAUGUUCAUCAGUGGCAUUUUUGGGGAACGUCUCCCUCUGCGCUACUACCUGUCAGGGGGAAUGGUGCUGAGCGGGCUCUUCACCUCCCUUUUCGGCCUGGGCUACUUCUGGAACAUCCACGUCCUCUGGUACUUCAUCAUUGUGCAGGUCUGCAAUGGGCUGGUGCAGACAACUGGCUGGCCUGCUGUCGUGGCAUGCGUUGGAAACUGGUUUGGCAAAGGAAAGAGAGGUUUGAUCAUGGGCAUCUGGAACUCGCACACCUCCGUUGGCAACAUCUUAGGGUCACUCAUCGCUGGUGCCUGGGUUUCCUCUGCCUGGGGCUUCUCCUUUGUUGUGCCUGGCAUCAUCAUCACUGCUGUGGGCAUCAUCUGCUUCUUCUUCCUCGUGGAGUAUCCUGAGGAUGUUGACUGCAGUCCACCUCUGCAUCAUACGGCCUGCGAUGAGGAUCCUGGGGGAGUGACCACCAGUGAGAAGGAUCCUGAAGCAGUCACCUCCAACGAGGGCCCACUCAGCCUCUCAGGGCAGAGCAGUGUGGAUCAGCACUCCAACAGCCCCAAGGAGCCAGCUGAGCAGCCUGAAGCCAUCAGCUUCCUUGGGGCACUUCGGAUUCCUGGCGUGGUGGAAUUCUCCCUGUGCCUGCUCUUUGCCAAGCUGGUGAGCUACACCUUCCUGUACUGGCUGCCCCUCUACAUUGUCAAUGUGGCUCAUUUUGGUGCCAAGGAAGCCGGGGACCUGUCGACCCUCUUUGAUGUCGGGGGUAUUUUAGGGGGGAUCUUCGCUGGCCUCAUCUCUGACUACACAGGCGGCAGAGCCACCACGUGCUGCGUGAUGCUGGUGGUGGCUGCUCCCAUGCUGUUCCUGUAUAACCAUGUGGGUCAGAAUGGCAUUGGCACAUCAAUAGCGAUGCUGAUCAUCUGUGGCGCUCUGGUGAACGGGCCCUACGCGCUCAUCACAACAGCGGUGUCGGCAGAUUUGGGCACCCAUGAAUCUCUCAAAGGAAACGCCAAAGCCCUUUCGACUGUCACGGCCAUCAUCGACGGCACGGGAUCUGUUGGUGCUGCACUGGGGCCGCUGCUCGCAGGGCUCAUCUCUCCCACGGGCUGGAAUAAUGUCUUCUACAUGUUGAUAGCAGCUGAUGUCCUGGCUUGUCUGCUCCUGGCUCGUGUGGUGGUCAAAGAGGCUCGUGGCUGGUGUGGCCCCAUGGCAAGGCAGAGAGGGUACGUAGUUACCACCCUGGGGCAGCCUCCAGUGCCACCACGCCCAAACACAGUGGUGGUGCUGCUCCAGAAAGAUGUUUGUUAUCCCUUGCUGUCGCUGCUGCAUCUCCGCGUGGGAAUGGCGAGGCCGCCUGCCCGAUGUCUCGCUCCUGUGGCCACAGAGACAUUUCCACCUCCAGCCAAGGCAGCACCUGGGGGAUUUUAGCCAUCUGCACCUCAAGAGACACUUGGGGUGCUAAACACGUUGUCCUUGUGUCUUUGUAGCUCUAGUGUGCAGCUAACAGAGUCAGUGAUGGAUGGGAAGUAGCUCGGUGUAAGUACCUUCACUUGAGCCCUGAGGAUUAAAUGCAAACACAAGCCUGAUCUGCUCUGAUUCUGAGUUUCACUUUGCUGGCUCAGCCUAGAAGUAGCCACUCCCUCCAAUCAUUUAGGGCUGAGAUCAAGAUCAAAUGGCCAGGGAAGAGUGCAGGAGGGUGGGAGGAAGGAGGAAGAGGGAGAUGUGGCUGGGCAGUGCAUCCUUGUCUUGGGCUGACUCAGAGGUAUGGGCCCAGAUGCCCAAUUGAUUGGGAUUGAUUAAUGCCCUUGAAACAUCUGGAUUUAUAGGCUUUGCCCACCUGUGCUACUGAGCUUGAUUACACACAACCAGGACUCACUAAUCAAAUCUGUAGCUGAAUCACUGCAGCGAGUGUGUAAAUAACCCCAAAAUCAGCACUGGCCUGGCUCUGAUUGCCACCAACACCCCCAAGUGACAUCCAGAGCAAGGGGCCACAGCCUGUCCUGGCACUGGGGCUGCCAGACCCCGGCCCCCUGCGAACAUUUCGUCCCUUAUGUCUUGUGUUUGCAGGUGAAAGACCAAUAGUCUGGGCCUCGUGCUGCGGUUUAAGGAGUUCUGAGCCCUGCGAGCGGAGCCCGGAGGGAGCAGAGGCUGGGGCGCACGGAGCGGAGCGCGGGCGUUCGGCAGAGCCCAGCCCAGCCCAGGGCACGGCCCGGGCUCACCCAGACCCACCGCGGGCUCGCCUCCAGCCCAGGCACGGGCGAGGAGCAGGCAAAGGGCCCUGGCCAAACGGUUUUCUGGGUCACUUCUUCACCAUCGGCCGUUUUAUUAAUAAAAAGGUGCAAAACCUG